GAAACCCUACCCUGCUCAAGUUCUGCCUACUUCAAUAACCUGACAUUAUCCUGUAGCAACUAUCUGCUAUAUUUGCGUAGAAAUGUGGAAGUUUGCAACCUGUUUAAACGGUCCAGUCACUGACUAAUUUUCUCUUCUAUACAUGGCUGUAGCAUGAUGGCUCCUGCACCAUCUAGCUUCUGAGAGACAAGGUCCAUGGAGGAUGGAUGGAGACUUCAGUGAAAGUGUGCCUCCCACUACUACAGUCACUCCAACAUGGCUCAGCAAGCGAUUUGGGGAAGAGAAGAGCCAUCCGGCACCCAAAAUUCGCUCAUAAAGGACAUCUUGGCCUCAAAGAUGCUGGAAAACUCUAUGUAUUCCACAAAUGAAACAGUAACAUAGGUGACUUAGAGGCGCUCGUGUUAAGGUUAUGAUAUUGUUGCUGAUGGAAUGAAUGAUUCCGAGUGGAAGAUCAUCACACACAUGCCCUAUUUCCUGCCUGUCAAUAUGUGUGUGUGUGUGUUUUUUAUUUUUUAUUUUUGUUGCUUUGCUUUAGCUUGGAGUGAGAUUACUGAGCAGGGCCACUCUGCCAGUUGUACUUCCAGCUGCCGUUAGACAGUUAUCAGGGUAGAGAGUGUGAAAUCAUGUCUCACUGUGGUGAUUGUCCACUCGCUCUGUCCCACGCUCCACUGCAGCAUCUAAUCAGCACCAUACUGAUGCCCUGUGCCACCACAGAGAUACUGUACAGGCAAAGAGAGAUUGACGGAGAGCGAACUGAAUCUUUAGAAGCCACAACACGCACAUGCUCCCAUUUACCAAUACACAGACACACGCACACUGUCACAUUGGCAACAAGGUCAACAAAUGUCAAAAAAAGAUGUCACCAGAUCCCCAGUUCUCUUUCAUUUGCUGAUUAAUUUAUAUUCAGUAUAAAAUGAAUGUUGAAACAUUUCUGAGAAGCUAGUAGACAUUUUAUAGAAACAUAUGGUCAUAUUCUGUAGGUGUUUGGGAGUGUGUAUGAAAGAUCAAGUGAUUACAAGUGACACAACAAAAUGGGUACUUCAGUUGUAAAUAAACAUGGCUGCAUAUGGA